rnacentral:rRNA from 1 species
GACGAACGCUGGCGGCGUGCCUAAUACAUGCAAGUAGGACGCAGUUGCGAACGGGUGAGUAACGCGUAGGUAACUACCUAUUAGAGGGGGAUAACUAUUGGAAACGAUAGCUAAUACCGCAUACUAGUAGAUGGACCUGCGUUGUAUUAGCUAGUAGGUAGGAUAAUGGACUACCUAGGCAACGAUACAUAGCCGACCUGAUGGGGGGAACAGCAACACAGGGGCUGGGAGACAGCCAAGACUCCUUAGGGGGGCAGCAGUAGGGAAUCUGCGGCGAUGGGGGGAAACCUGACCAAGCAACGACGCGUGAGUGAGAAAGGUUUUCGGAUCGGAAAGCUCUGUUGUUAAGGAAGCAAUACUUAACCAGAAAGGGACGACUAACUACGUGCCAGCAGCCGCGGUAAUUC